GUCGAGCGAGAAAUCCGGGGCUUGCCCCGGGUGGAGAGCGGCGAACGGGUGAGGAACACGUGAGGAACCUGCCCCGAAGACCGGGAUAACACCGGGAAACCGGUGCUAAUACCGGAUGCCCUCACCGGAUCACAAGAUGCGGUGAGGAAAUGGAUUCCGCUUCGGGAUGGUCUCGCGGCCUAUCAGCUUGUUGGUGGGGUAACGGCCUACCAAGGCUUCGACGGGUAGCUGGUCUGAGAGGAUGUCCAGCCACACUGGGACUGAGACACGGCCCAGACUCCUACGGGAGGCAGCAGUAGGGAAUCUUGCGCAAUGGGCGAAAGCCUGACGCAGCGACGCCGCGUGCGGGAUGAAGGCCUUCGGGUCGUAAACCGCUUUCAGCAGGGACGAAAUUGACGGUACCUGCAGAAGAAGGCCCGGCCAACUACGUGCCAGCAGCCGCGGUAAUACGUAGGGGCCAAGCGUUGUCCGGAUUUAUUGGGCGUAAAGAGCUCGUAGGCGGUUCGGUUAGUCGGAUGUGAAAUCUCCACGCUCAACGUGGAGGCGCCAUCCGAUACUGCCGUGACUCGAGUCCGGUAGGGGAGUGUGGAAUUCCCGGUGUAGCGGUGAAAUGCGCAGAGAUCGGGAGGAACACCCGUAGCGAAGGCGGCACUCUGGGCCGGUACUGACGCUGAGGAGCGAAAGCGUG
rnacentral:rRNA from 1 species